UACGUAGGGGGCAAGCGUUGUCCGGAUUUAUUGGGCGUAAAGAGCGUGUAGGCGGCUAGGUAGGUGGGUUGUGAAAACUGGAGGCUCAACCUUCAGACGUCGACCCAAACCCCCUGGCUAGAGUCCGGAAGAGGAGAGUGGAAUUCCUGGUGUAGCGGUGAAAUGCGCAGAUAUCAGGAGGAAUACCCAUAGCGAAGGCAGCUCGCUGGGACGUUACUGACGCUGAGGCGCGAAGCGUGGGGAGCGAACAGG
rnacentral:rRNA from 1 species